AAUGUGUGGAAACUAUGGAAACGGCAAACCCCAAACAAUGGGCUCAUUGGAUUAUGUGCACCAUGCUGCAGCCCACACAGUGUUUCUGUGGCUGGAUAAACAGACACCCGGAAGGGCUGCACAACUCCAGGAAUUGGAAGUGACUGUUGAUGGAUCGAGUGGAAGGUUUUACAAAUGUGGAUUUGGGUCAUUGUCCCUGUGGGCUUGCCUCAGCUUCCCCACCUCUCAGAACAGGAGCCAUGUCACCUCCUUGCCUCGCGGAGACUGUGGCCUCACAUCUGUAAAUACAUGCAAAGGAAGAGCAGCAUAGAGGGGCCUGUCUGCAGAAUAUAGUCCAAGGCCUGAGUUUUUAAAAGCUGUUGCAAGGCCCAAGUGAUUUUGACAGACAAGUUUAGGCUCCAGAGUGCCUAAGUCCCACUGACGUUCAAUGAGAUUGAGGGUAGGUCUACGUGGCAGUCGGAGGGGUGACUACAGCUCAUGUAGACACAUCCACACUAGCUUUUGUCUAGAUAGCCAUUACCAGUAACAGUGAAGCCAUGGACGUGAGUGCAGGCUAGCCACUCAAGUACCCAGGGUCCAGGCAGGUUUCUAUAAACCGUGCUGGAGCCCAUGCUGCCGUGACUUCACUGCUACUGGUAUUCACACCAGCUCAGGUCUACCUGCAUGGGCUGCACUCACACCUCCGACUGCAGUGUAAACGUACACUUAGGCUGCUCGGGCCCAGCUCCACAAAGGUAUUUAGGCCUCUACUUCCACCUGCUCAGCUGCCACCUAACCCCCCUAGGCGCCUAUGGUUUUACCGGUCAACAUUCACGAAGCUCGGAUGGCUAAGAGCUGCUCAGAGCCCUAGCCCAAGCUGAAGCCCCAGGGGCGCUGACGCAGGAUUCUCAAACUAGGCAGGGAAAUCCUGUCUUGCUAGCCAGGCCCAGGCUUAUCACUAUGCUCUGGAAUCCCAUUACUGCAAACAAACCUCAAUCCCACACCGGAGUCUGGUUCCUCCUAGGGCCCAAGGGAGGAAAGCACUUUACACAGCCUCGUUUCCGCUGCCCCACUAGGGAACCGCUUCUGUCCCACUGAGAACUAGCUUGACAGCCAGAUCCCAUGAAGACCCAGACAGCAAACGGCCAGCUGCUCUGGGUAGAAUUAGAACAGACCCCAAGCUGAGCCCAGAGCUACGGAAAGCCUGCUUUUUUGAGGUAUUGGGGGAUGGGGGGAGCCUGAGGCAAGAAAGAAUCUGAGAGGCCAAGAAGAGUCCUGUGUACAGCCAAUUAGGCUGCAUUCAUAAUUUAGCACCCCCUGGCUUGAUAUGCCCCUCUCUCUGUUCGCUUUGUUCUUGUUUACUCUGGACUCCUCUCCCCGCCUUUCGGAAGAGAAAUGUUCUCAUUUUUGGCUGGCUGGGAGGGAGGGGGCCGUGUUCCCACAGAACUGCAGCUGUACAUGCUGCAUAUGAACUGCACAGGAGCAAGCUCUGCGUCCUCGUGGAAGACAGACAGACACACAGUCCCAGUUCAGCCAGAUUUGUCCUGAGUGUACAGGUCAAAUACAAACCACCAGGAAACAGCAGUGUCACCCAGGUGUGUCUGGGCUUUAACGUUCUGCUGUAGCCUAGAGAUUGAAGAGAAGGGAUCAUCAUGCGCUGAAGGAAUGUGUACUGCAAGCCAUGUACUAUACCCAUGUCUUCUGCUGCAUGAAGCUAUCUGGGCUCGAUUCUCCUCUCAGUAUUGCCCACUAACUUCCCAGUACCCCAGAUGGCUCAGUAAUUACUGCCCGUUUCACAGAUGGAAUAAACAGGACCAGUGACUUUAUGUCCAACAUUUCCAAAAGUACCCACUAACUCGGAGUGCCGUCAUGGUGGUGCCCCACUGGGAGACCCCAGCUGUGGUUCCGAGAGCUGGGCACUUUCAGUGUUUGUUUGGAUCAGCAGUCUGAUGAAAAGCGAUCGAGCCCACAGUGUAAAUUCCUGUUCUCCAACCUGGAACAGCUCUAUGGGGAGAUCUCAGCACUCUUCCGAGGGGAGAGCAUACAGUGGUCAGGACACUAGGUAGCAGGCUCCUCGGUUCUGUUCUUGAUUCUGCUGCUUACUGAACUGUGUGACCCUGAGCAAGUCACUUAGCCUCAGUUUGCUCCUCUGACCCAGCUCCCAUGGGUGUUGUGAGGUUUAUUGUAAUAACCGAGGGGAAUGGGGCUUGUACAGGUGGAGAGAACAUGGGAGUCAGGGGUGGUUUGCAGCACAGCGCUCCCCAAGUCCUACUUGUCUCCAAACAAAUUAGGCUGGGUAAUGAAAAGCAGACAUAGCCCAUCAACCAAAGGGUCUUGAAACCCAGUGAGUUAUGAGGCCACUGACCUACACGCUGUUUCUGGGCAUGUGACGUUAAGUACUGUCACUUCCUGAAAACAUACCCCAGAUGAGUCCUGCCAAAGGUUUGUAAAGUGAAUUAAGCAGCCGUUUAUCUUUCUGAGAAGUUGCAACCAUGGCUUGUUUAUUUGAGUGCUGCUCAUUCUUAACCAGCAGAGAAACACGAUUGUGGCCAAAACCAGAUUUAACCAGAGCCCUCUUGCCAGUGCAUGGAAGAGAAUGGAAAAUGUACUGACUGCAUGAGCCAGAACAGAACAAUGCCAACAGCUGCAGGCCGCAUAGGCUCAGGAAAGAGCUGGUAGCAGUUACACCAGAGGCAGCUGCUCAUGGUGAGCCCUCUGCCCCUGGAGCGAACUCUUCAUUCUGCUGGAGCAGCACUGUACAUGUGCCAUCCGUGAACAUUUGUGUGAGGAAGUUGUGUCAUUCAGAUGCUGGUGAGAAGCAGACACAAACAGGGCAUGAUUACAGUGUUCCCUCUACUUUUUUACAUCCAUGUGCGGAAUGAAUAUUGUUAUGUGCACCAAUAUGGAGGUGAUGUGUGGUGGGGAUGGGGCCGAGGGGUUCAGAGUGUGGGAGGGGGCUCAAGGCUGGGGCAGAGGGUUGAGGUGCAGAGGAGUGUGAGGGGUCUCACUGGAGGUGCGGCCAGGGAUGAGGGGUUCAGACUGCCCCGGGGCUGUGGAGGGGAGAGAGGACUCCCCCCAGCCCUCUCUCACCAUGGCAGCUCCAGGGCCGGGAGAGAGGUGCCUCUCCCCACCACAGCCCUGCAUGCCCCCUACCUCUCCUCUGCAGUCCAAGCCCCUGUGGCUGUGCACCUGCACGACUCUUGAUAGCCUGCUGCACGGCUGCGCAGCUUAGAGGGAACUUAGGGCGUGAAUGGGGCCAAAGCAAAGUCAUGAAAUGUUCAGGGUCAAAAUGUUUUUCACUGAUCACCUAGGUUCAGUCUUAAUUGACAGACUCGACAGAUAUUUCAAUGGACCUCAGCAAGGUCAGUUGCAAUCCUAACCUGGAUUUACUCCCCCUCCCCCACCCAUAUUUUCAAGGAAGCCUUUAGAUAUGUAUUUCCCACAAAAAAACAAAUCUCUACAGUCCUCAUUGGACAAAGGCCUAGAUCCUCACAGGUAUUUAGGCACCUAACUCCCACCAAGAUCAAAUCCCUUUGAAGGUCUGGGCCAAAGCACUUGAGGACAGUGACUUCAGUGGAAGAUAAGCACAUACUUAAAGGUAAGGCCAAGCCUGAGAUCAGGAUACAGGUGUUUUAUUUCUUUCAGAACAGUUGUCGGCAGCCCUUUGCCCAGGAACAACUCUAGACUAACAACCCAAUAUGCUCACAACCCCACACUAACCAGCAAGUACCCAGGCACAAUGGAGGGGGGGGAAUAACUGUAGGAAAACUGAUUUUGGAUUGAGGUUUCUUCUGAGAACUAGAAGCAGGAAGGGGCCAGGGGUGUCCCAAGCUCUGAAAACUCCUUUAACAGGCUCCGAUCAAAUCCCCUUCUCUUUUUGAGGUUUGCUAUUAUUACACAGAGAAGUAAAUUUACUCACCUAAAGCUGCUCAAUUAACCCACAGCAAAUAUUGGAACUACUUGAUGUCUCUGCCUAGAAGUAACGAGUUAUUGUAGUGUCAAUAUCAGCUGGUUAUUUAAGAGUGAUAUAUUGCGGUUAAACAACCUGGCAAUAGAUUGGUUCCUUUUACGCAGCUAGGUAGGUUUAAUAAUCAAUUAGUAGAUAAUUAGCUCUGCCACUGUUCAAUGAUAUGGACACAUUGCUGGACAUGUCAACACCAUCCCCAGCCACUGGGAUCAUCCUGCUGUCAUGCAGCAUCUCAGCUCCGCCCUCGAACCAGUAAAGGCACCUCUCACACUGCUGCCACCUUUGCUACAGCGCCUAGUUUGGUGAAGAGCAUUUUCUCUGUGGCAUAAGGGAACCAGCGUCUCACCUGCAUAUGGCUCCUACACCAUCAGGAGCUGCCUGACAGAUGGCGAAAGCGGUUUAUUUCACUAGUCGUUUCCCAGUUAAAUGGCCCCGGUUUCACUUUGUCACAUCCCUGGGGCAAAGUGCAUUUGCUUUCACAGACCAGCUCGGGCCCACUGGUGAUGCCACAUAGGAGAAUCUAUCCCAGAACAGACCACUAGGUCCUGCCAAAGGCACCUGUCCAUGUCCUUGGAGUGAAUCUGCUGAGUAUGUAACACUGAGAUUGGCAAAGGCAGAACCUGCGGCAGACUAAUAGGUCUGAUUGUUUAAUUUGUCCAGCAGCACAGGCUGCAUUGCCAGCUGGCUGCUGUGCUUUGGUACAUCACACUGAACGAUGAUUGAUUAUUUCUACUGCAGCAGGAGCCCCAGUUGUGCAACGGACCCAUUGUGCUAGGUGCUGUACAAAGAGAACCCUCCAAAUGCUCAGGAGCAGGAAGACUGGAUGGAAGGUGACUAAGCCAGCACCCCCAGGUCCCUCAGCAUUGCACUAAUCAACCCUGUCACACCCUGCACACCAAACUACCAAUAGGCACUCUGGGCUAGUGCAUUGAGAAUAGUGCUCAACCACCACCUCGCUGUGCGACCAAGAGCAAGUCACUUGGCCUCUGUGCCUCCAUUUCCCCUUCUGUAAGGUGGGUGUGAUGAGGAAAAGAAAAUGUUUGUAAAGCACCAGGCAGGGGCUGGCUAUUGUAUUUCUGAAACUCCUUGGGGUAGGAGGCUGGGUCUUCCUAGGGGUUUGUACUGUGAGCCUCUGGGUGCUACCCUAACAAAAAGCAGGAGCCGGUUUGAGCCUUGUCAAGGGUACAGCUUCCACCAGGGAAUGAUGUCUCCAAAAAACCCUAGCUUAGGCCAUUGGCUUUAAUCAGGUCUUCCUGCAGCCUCUGUCCCAGAGCCGUGGCAGCAGAGCUGGGGAGGUUGUGCUGGUGCAGAGCAUCAGAGGACGUGAUUUGUUUAAACAUUUGCUUCGUUUUUCGAACAUGGAGCCCCGUUUUUAAGUACCCGGGUUAAUUGUUCCACCCCGAGUUCUCCCUGACCAUGCUGGAGCGUUCCAGGCUCAUUAAUCACCACUCACCACAGUAACAGAGCCUCCCGCUCAACCCCCUGCAGCUCCAGCCUUGGCCUCUGGGUCAUCCAUGGCCCAGGAAGGGGAUGGGCUCCUGCCCUUACAUGCUUUGACUAAGCCCAAGUCUACACUAGAAACCUUUGCCAAUACACUAACUCCUUGCUUAAGGCUGCAGUGAUGUUCCUGAAAAAUGCUACUUUAAGUGAAACGAUGUUAAGCGAAUCCAAUCUCCCCAUAAAAAAUUAAUGUAAAUGGGGGGGUUAGGUUCCAGGGAAAUUUUUUUUGCCAGACAAAAGAGUCUCUCUCUCUCUCACACACACACACACACACACACACACAGUGUAAGUUUUAAACAAACAAUUUAAUACUGUCCACAGCAAUGAUGACUGUAGCUUGGUUGAGGUGGUGGAGUCAGAAGGGGGGAUAUUUCCCAGGGAAAGCCUUACUGCUAAAUGAUGAACUAGCACUCGGCUGAGCCCUCAAGGGUUAACUCGUUGCUGUUAAUGUAGCCUCACACGCUACAAGGCAGCAUGAAUGGAGGGAGGAGACACUGGGUGGCUGCCGCACAGGGAACUUAGGGGAGCUGAUGGGGGGCUGCCGGCCCACCCUGGUUCCAAGCACCCACCAGCUCGCUCCAACGGGCUGCUCUUCCUGCAAGCAGUGGACAAAGCAUACAGCUGCCAAACAACCUUAUAAGGGAGCAUUGCGCAACUUUAAAUGAGCAUGUUCUCUAAUUGAUCAGUGACGUAACAAUGUUAACCAGGACAGUGAGGAGUUACUGUAUAGCUCUAUGAUUUUUUUUAGAUCUAUACUGGCAAAAGCCCUAGCGUAAAUGCAGUUAUAUCGCCAUCAAAGUCCUUUUUCUGGUUCCGCUCACUGAACCAGCAUACCCAGACCCUGUUUUUACCAGCAGAACGGUGUCUGCAGUAGGAGGGUUUCCUUUUCAAGUGGAAAACUAGCCUGCCCCGAUGUCUGCUCCAGGCACCUGCCCCAUUGAGCAAACACUGUUUGGAGCAGAGAAGAGCUCCUUGGUGGAAAUCGCUGCUUUUCAGAUCUGUGCUAGGAGUUUGCACUGGAGGAGUGACACUGAUUGCUGCGCACUGAUAAUCCCCAGCGGUGCAGACGAGACCUUAGACUGAGCAGUUCCAGUCUCUGACAAUCCAGACAGCAAGUCACAAACGUCUCAGUGUGGAGACAAGACUGUCCCUGUCAAAGUGACAUUGCUGAGCCUCAAGAACACAAUGCUGCACAGAGACAGCAACGACGGAAGACAGACCCUGGAGUCAAACUCAGCCCUGCUCUAGCUCCACAGACCUGGGUGCACUAAACUCUGUGGAGAUAAACAGUGCUCUCCUCUCCUCUGAGAGCAUCUCUCCCUGCCCAUGUGGUCCAACGACGAUAUCAGGAGUGGCAACUUGGAGGGGGAAACAAGCCACUUUUUUUCUUUUAACAGGAAAAGAAUCUGAAGUGGGAGUGAGUGUGGAGAAGCGCUGUCUAGUGGUCAAAGCACAGACCCAGGAGGGAGGAGGCUCUGCUGUUUGAUCUCGGGCAAAUCACUUCUCCUCUAUCCCCAUGUUACGCACGGGGGAGCAAUCACAUGUCCCUGCCUUGCAUGUGGGAGGUGAGGCCUAAUGCAGUAAGAGCCUUUGAGAGUCUUGGAUGGAAGGUACAAUCAGCACGUUAGGUAUUAUUGUUAUUAAGAUCCAUCCCCAGGCUCUGUCACUUGGGCGCAAGUUCCUGUAGCAGCUCAGACCAAGACUCUUUUUACCCGUAAUUCCUGAUAACCAGGGGUAGGAGCCGAUGUAACGCGCGGACGGAGCUGGAACAAGACCACGCAUUAUGCUGUCAAGCACAGCUGGACUGAGAGAUACAGAGGCUCUGCAUGGAAGAGCCUGCCCCAGCUCUGGCUUAGACAGCCUAGAGAACACACCCAAGCCCUCCCACAUGCUCCUAGCACCAUUGCGCAAGAACGGGGCGGGCACUGUGGGCACUGACAUGGGAAUGAGAUCACCCAGCCUUUCAAGCAAAGAGACAGUGGAAGCCACAGCCUGAAGCGGAAGCUAAUGUUCGCCAUGGGAACAAGUAGGGGCAGGUAAGAAUCACAUGCGAAGCAGUGCACUGAUCACUCCCAGCUCCCAUCGGCACUCCAAAGAUCUGGCCCCCAUGUGUUUAACUUUGCCAUUGCCCCCAAUAACUGCUGAGCUUACGAAGGAAUAUAGGACAAAUCUAAUGUACUUUUCACCACUGCUGUUCCAUCUGUCUGUGCUUGGGCCAGGAUGGACCAACAGGUCAGAUCAGUCAGUGAACACCCGCUAAAUCGACUGCAGAUUGCUCUCCUGUCGACAUCGUGUAGUGUGGACCCUGCGGUAGGUAGAUCUAAGCUACGUCAAUUUGAGUUACACUAUUCACGUAACUCAAAUUGCGUAGCUUAGAUUGAAUUUCCCCUGUAGUGUAAACAAGGCCUUAGACAAGUUAGAUAUCUUCAGGUCACCAGGGCCUGAUGAAAUGCAUCCUAGAAUACUCAAGGACCUGACUGAGGAGAUAUUUGAGCCAUUAGCAAUUAUCUCUGAAAAGUCAUGGAAGACGGAAGAGAUUCCAGAGGACUGGAAAAAGGCAAAUAUAGUGCCCAUCUAUAAAAAGAGAAAUAAGGACAGCCCAGGGAAUUACAGACCCGUCAGCUUAACUUCUGUACCCGGAAAAUAAAGGAGCAAAUAAUUAAGCAAUCAAUUCGCAAAUAUCUAGAAGAUAAGUAACAGUCAGCAUGGAUUUGUCAAAAACAAAUUGCAUCAAACCAACCUGAUAGCUUUCUUUGACAGGGUAACAAGCCUUGUGGAUUCGGGGGAAGCAAUAGAUGUGGUAUGUCUUGACUUUAGUAAAGCUUUUGAUACAGUCUCACGUGACCUUCUCAUAAACUAGGGAAAUGCAGCCUAGAUGGAGCUACUAUAAGGUGGGUGCAAAACUGGUUGGAAAACUGUUCCCAGAGAGUAGUUAUUAGUGGUUCACAGUCAUGCUGGAAGGGCAUAACAAGUGGGGUCCCUCAGAGAUCCGUUCUGGGUCCAGUUCUGUUCAAUAUCUUCAUCGGUGAUUUAGAUAAUGGCAUAGAGAAUACACUUACAACGUUUGCAGACAAUACCAAGCUGGGAGGGGUUGCAAGUGCUUUGGAGGAUAGGAUUAUAAUUCAAAAUGACCUGGACAAACUGGAGAAAUAGUCUGAAGUAAAGAGGAUGAAAUUCAGUAGGGACAAAUGCAAAGUACUCCACUUAGGAAGGAACAAUCAGUUGCAUAUAUACAAAAUGGGAAAAGGCUGCCUAGAAAGGAGUACUGCGAAAAGGGAUCUGGAGGUCCAGGACCACAAGCUAAAUGAGAGUCAACAGUGUAACACUAUUGGGCAACAGGGUGGAUCACUUGAUUACCUGUUCUGUUCAUUCCCUCUGAAGCACCUGGCAUUGGCCACUGUCAGAAGACAGGAUACUGGGCUAGAUGGACCUUUAGUCUGACCCAGUAUGGCCAUUCUUACGUUUUAUGGGAUGUAUUAGUAGGAGCAUUGUAAGCAAGACACGAGAAGUAAUUCUUCCUCUCUACUCCACACUGAUUAGGCCUUAACUGGAGUAUUGUGUCCAGUUCUGGGCGCCGCAUUUCAGGAAAGAUGUGGACAAAUUGGACAAAGUCCAGAGAAGAGCAACAGAAAUUAUUACAGGCCUAGAACACAUGACCUAUGAGGGAAGAUUGAAAACAUUUAGUUUGUUUAAUCUGGAAAAGAGAAGACUGACAGGGGACAUGAUAACAGUUUUCAAGUACAGAAAAGAUUGUUACAAGGAGGAGGGACAAAAAAAAUCUUCUCCUUAAUGUCUGAGGACAGGACAAGAAGCAAUGGGCUUAAAUUGCAGCAAGGGAGGUUUAGGUUGGACAUUAGAAAAAACUUCCUAACUGUCAGGGUCGUUUUAAGCCAUGGAAUAAAUUGCCCAGGGAGGUUGUGGAAUCUCCAUCAUUGGAGACUUUUAAGAGCAGGUUAGACAAACACCUGUCAGGGAUGGUUUAGAUAAUACUUAGUCCUGCCAUGAGUGCAGGGGACUGGACUAGAUGACCUCUCGAGGUCCCUUCCAGUUCUAUGAAUACAGCUAGCACACCACCAUUCCUUUAGUCAGGCUUUGAAAAGACCUCCCUGACUUGCUCUCGCUCUAGGAAGAUUCCCACUCCUGGAGCCCGACUGUGUGGCUGACCGUGUCUAAGUCUGCAGGGCUGGAAGGGGCGAGAACAAAGGGGCUAGAGCCAUGUACGACCCUCACUGCUGUCAGUGUGCUACUCACUGCCCCCUGGCCUGCUGAUGCCUUCAGACACCGACUCUCAGUGCCCAGUUGGUGCCCAAGGCAGUGAGUUAACCACUCCAAACCUCACAGCAGCAUGCAAAGAACUCAGAUCUUCUUGCUACAACAGCACAGAUCCCCUGCUGCUUGAGUGAAAGGAACAGCCAUUAGCUAUUAGCAGUAGGGGAAUUAUGAUACACAGCUGAGUGAGUUUGAUUCCAGCCUGUAAGGGGCAGUGCAGCACCUACACAUUGCCGACACACCAUUUCCCACUACAGCCAAGCAAGGAGCAGAGUGGUCAGAAGGAUGGCAGAGCGAUAGAUAAUCCAAGUCCUUCCCCUAGCCAGGGGAGGAUCUAGUCAAACAGCACAUUAAAAAGCCUCAGGAAAGGUCUCAUCUAGUCCUGGCUACCCACAAAAACAGCAGGCAUCUGGGCCUCCUAGCUCCCAGCACAGCCCUCUGCAUGCCAGCCCCAUGACCAGUCCAUCCUGCACAGAGCCCUGACCAGCAUCCCACACGGCCUAGUUACACCUCGGGUGGGCACAGUUUAGCAGCGGGAAUCUCCUUGCAUUCCAGCUGGCUGGGGAAGCCCUAGGAAUCAGGUACCUCCCUCCCAUGACUAGAUCUGGCACUGCUCAAACCCUGCAGUGCCCCAGGGCAUGACUCCAAGCAGGGGCCGGAUCCUGAAGCUGUCUUGACGGGCCAGCUGAGCAAUGAAUGGCAAGUGGCCAGUGACCAGGUGCUGCCCAAUGACUGUGAUGAACCCACAGGGACAUGGUGGGAGUCAUCCCAGAUGGACUCUACCUCAAACAUGUCUGUGAUCCAUGGUACUGUCAGGGGUGGGAGUGAGCGUGACAGAGAAUGCAGCAUGCACCGGCAAGUGUGACUGUGCCAGGGGAGUAUGUGUGCGGAUAUGCGAGUCUCUGCGUAUGUGAGCGUGGGGAGUGGCUGGGUGAAGGCAAGGCUUUCUCUGCUCUGGGCCUAGAUGUGCAGUUCACUCCAUUAACCUGGCGGUCCUACAAACAGAAUUACGGGGCAGAGGGAAGAUGCCACAAGAUGGACUGGCAGGUUAUUUGUGGCUCCUGCCAUGGGGUUGACGUCACUAACAGGAUCAGCAGCAAUAAUCUGCUCUUUAGCACUUGCAAAGCCCCUGAGCCAGUCUCUGAAUUGGAAAGCAGGCUGGGGAGGGAAGAGAGUGCACCUCUAAGACACAGCUGGGGCUGCUAAUUCCUGGCACAUCUGCUGCACCCUGCUGGCUGCUUGGUGGGGGAGGCUGUGGCCGUUGACAGAGCGGGCUGUUCUGCGCUCUCUCACCAUCCCAAAGUCUGUGCUGGGGAUUUAAAAGGGACAUGGCAGAGCAGUCACAGGGGACACAUUUCUUCUGUGCUUCAUGCCCAGCCCUGCCCCUGCAGCCUGUGUGACUCCUCUCCUCGCCGUGCAGCUGUCUGGGCCUGCAGACACACAGUGUGAUGUCCAGGGGCAGCGACCAGGCUGACCAUUAACUUCGUGGUACUGAGAUAUCCUGAUCAGAUCAAUAUGAGGUGUCCAUGUUCUGCUGGGAGUGGAGCUGACCCCAAACACGGAGCCUUGUCUUCCUACAUUCCAGCUGGGAAGGGCUGCUAGGAUCUACACUGAGGAAGAACAGGACUGGCACAAACUUCCCCACAGAAACCAGCAAACUCCGGCCAAUGGGCUUUACACACUUGCCUGCUCCUUGUGUAGAGCACAACCUGCAUGGGGCUAGGUAGCCUGGGCUUGCCCCUGUUGCCAGAUGUCCUAGGUUCAGGACAUUCAGGAGGAAAGGUGCUUCCUGCAAUACCCAGCAAGGCUGGGGCAGAAAGAGGAACAAGACGCCCUCCCACAGUGACAGCAGGCAGGCACACAGGAAGGGGAAGAAGGAAGAACAAGCCCACUUGCCAGAAGCCACCAUGCGUGUUUUAAGCAAAGCAACCAAGCAGAUGAGCACCCUCCGCCCUUCCCAUGCUAAUGAACAAAGGACAAACUCCAAACUCUGCAGCCCACUCAGUCCUUGGCUUCUGCCACCAGGGAGGUGCGUAGUGCCCACGGCGUUGCUGGCAUGGACACUUGUCCACUGAGACAGAACGCGUCAUUUCACAUGAUCCACCAAACAGUGACCUUUAAGGAAAUGGUUGGCACCCAAUCCAGAGAUAAAAGACUUCACUGAGCUCCGGAGUCACUCCCCUGGACAAGCCUUUUAGCUGGAAAUACAGCUCCCCGCAAGUUCAUUCCCCUGUAAUUUAACAGCCAACUUUCCGUUUCCACAACAAAACUCUCCUUCAAAAAACAGCAUGUGUGUCUAACUAGCACAGCUGCUUGGACCAGGUCUCACUCACUUCACCCCAGAGCCACUGCCUAGGAGAUUUCCCUAAACCUUGUAACCAAGGCCCCUGGAUCUCAGCUCAGAGAGGUGCAUAAACCCAGUCCUGACCCAACCUGGAGUUGCACAAUAAACCUGCUGCAAAUAGAGAAGAAAAACAAACAAACAAAAAGAGGGAGAAGAAAUAUUUUCCUUGUCAUCGGUUGUCAGAAAUGUUUUCCAUCUACACACCCAGGAUCGGGCUCGCAAUAAUCCCCCAAGAACAUCUGCUCUGUUACGUUCAGCUGAACUUCCACCUGGGGCAGCAAUUGUAUUCACACCUGCUCAACUUCCUCAGCCAAGCGCCACAGAAAAGAGUCACGGUACACAGACAGCGAGUAGAACUAACAGCCCACACUGCAGCGCCUUGCACGCCAUGGGUGGUUUGAGGAACCGUCUGGCUGAAAAGAGCCAUCAGACUCCCUUGCAGCUGCUCCC